AUGCUCAGACCAGACAUCUGCUCAAAGGCAGUUAAGAGGAAUUUUAAAUUUGUAGCACUGUCGUCAUCAUCUUGUAAUAAGAAGAUAGUGUCAUCAGGAGACUCUGUAUCCCUCUUAUACAUUGAUCUAGGCCUAGGAUGUGGGAGGCAGAGAAGAUGGACGGAAAUGGCGGAGACGAGGAUGACAUGCAUGCGUCCUGUACGGUGUGUCGUGUUGGUGUGUGUUAGAAAGGAGAGAGGAAUUUGGUGGAAUAGUUCGUUGUAUUGCUUGAGCCUCGUGGGCAUAUAUAUAAGAGUACAAUGA
rnacentral:rRNA from 1 species